AACCGCCUAGUGCGGACCGCAUGCUAGGUGGUGUGAGAGGAUGGGGCUAGCCGACCCCUCCUACUCCAAU
rnacentral:misc_RNA from 1 species